GAUGAACGCUGGCGGCGUGCCUAAUACAUGCAAGUCGAGCGGUAACACUUCGGGUGACGAGCGGCGGACGGCAGAGUAACGCGUAGGAACGUACCCCAAACUGAGGGAUAAGCACCGGAAACGGUGUCUAAUACCGCAUAUUAUUUUCGAAUCAAAGCCUUCGGGCGGUUUGGGAGCGGCCUGCGUAUGAUUAGUUAGUUGGUGAGGUAACGGCUCACCAAGACGACGAUCAUUAGCNGGUCUGAGAGGAUGAUCAGCCUGACUGGAACUGAGACACGGUCCAGACUCCUACGGGAGGCAGCAGUAGGGAAUUUUCCGCAAUGGGCGAAAGCCUGACGGAGCAACGCCGCGUGCA
rnacentral:rRNA from 1 species